UACGUAGGGGGCAAGCGUUGUCCGGAUUUAUUGGGCGUAAAGAGUGUGUAGGCGGUUUGGUAGGUCCGCUGUGAAAACUCGAGGCUCAACCUCGAGACGCCGGUGGAAACCAUCAGACUAGAGUCCGGAAGAGGAGAGUGGAAUUCCUGGUGUAGCGGUGAAAUGCGCAGAUAUCAGGAAGAACACCCGUGGCUAAGGCGGCUCUCUAGUACGGUACUGACGCUGAGACGCGAAAGCGUGGGGAGCGAACAGG
rnacentral:rRNA from 1 species